AGUAACGCGUGAGGAACCUGCCUCAAAGAGGGGGACAACAGUUGGAAACGACUGCUAAUACCGCAUAAGCGCACGGCUCGGCAUCGAGCAGAGGGAAAAGGAGCAAUCCGCUUUGAGAUGGCCUCGCGUCCGAUUAGCUAGUUGGUGAGGUAAUGGCCCACCAAGGCGACGAUCGGUAGCCGGACCGAGAGGUUGAACGGCCACAUUGGGACUGAGACACGGCCCAG
rnacentral:rRNA from 1 species